UAUCAAGACUGACCCCGGAGAACCCAGAAGCUUCAAAACUCAACACCGUUUCUUCGACCCGAAAUCCGGCGAAAACGACCCGGCGGUAUCUCCACCUUCCGGUCGAUUGGCGGAAUCGAACAAGCAGUAUUCUCUUCACCUCGACGGCGCGAAGCUGAACAUGGGCUCGGAUUGCUCAACCAAACCUUCAUGAUAGCAAAACUAAGCGAGAAAUCUACGGCAGUUUAGAUGCAUUUUCCGGGGACUCUAGUCACCGACGAUAGCAACUGAAAAUUGGUUGAGUUGGUGAGAUGAAGUGAGCUAUCUCUGUAAAUGGAAAACAACAGAAUAGCUAUGGUUGACGUGCUUCAGAAUAUCAAGUUCGUUGUUUCCAGAUUUUGAAAGCAUGGACUUGGCGGAAUGGAAGUACGGAACUACAAUGAAGUCUGGGAGUUCAUAAUUAUUAGCAUGUAUCAUUGAAGGUAAAUUCCUUAGGGCUUAGAAAAGACGCCCGACCAUAAUUGAUGAAGAUUUGUUGAUUUCUGCUUGGACCAAGAACCCAGCUGAAUAAAGAGACAAAAUUGGUCAAAGUUUUAAGUAAGUUACCAGAAGUUGAAAUAUGGUGGUGGUGUUGGCCUAAGAAGUGAAUGGAGUCAAAGCUGCUAUGUUCCAGGUAAGGUGAUUCAGGACUCUCUCAGUUAAAAUUUUUCUUCAAUAUAAAUAAUAUCACAUGGCUGUGAUUACUUCUCUAUGAAUUUAAAGGAUUUGAUAUUUUAUUGCCAUGCUUGUUUUCAAUGUUUUUCUAUAUCAUGCGAUGACCUGAGCGUGAGUGGAGCAUAGCAACUAUCUUGGCUUUCGAUCCCAUAAACCUCCAAAGGGGCUGUAUGGACGGUAUGAUGUCCUACAUCUUGUGAGAUGUCACACUAUUUCUAUGUGAUACGGCGUAAAUUGACACUCUCGCUACUCCUUACCAUUUAUAUAUGAUAAUAAUCUUGGUAAGGAUGUAGUUUGCAUAAUGAUUGGUUAUCCGGUUUGUGCUCUCUAGGCCCGCAAAUGUUUUCAAAACAAACUCUAUGGUUUAUGAUUUAAUCUCUCUUUUCACCUGUAUACGUAAUUUUCAAAUACUAGCAAUAAAUGCCUCUCUCUCUCUCUCUCUCUCUCUCUC